rnacentral:tRNA from 1 species
UCCCAGGUGGCUCAGUGGUAAAGCAUCUGUCUGCCAGUGCAGAAGAUACAGGUUCAAUCCUUGGGUUGGGAA